rnacentral:rRNA from 1 species
CACGAGUUUGAUCCUGGCUCAGAACGGACGCUGGCGGCAGGCCUAACACAUGCAAGUCGAGCGCCCCAGCGAUGGGGAGCGGCGGACGGGUGAGUAACGCGUGGGAACGUGCCUCUUGCUACGGAAUAGCCUCGGGAAACUGGGAGUAAUACCGUAUGUGCCCUACGGGGGAAAGAUUUAUCGGCAAGAGAUCGGCCCGCGUUGGAUUAGGUAGUUGGUGGGGUAAUGGCCUACCGAGCCGACGAUCCAUAGCUGGUUUGAGAGGAUGAUCAGCCACACUGGGACUGAGACACGGCCCAGACUCCUACGGGAGGCAGCAGUGGGGAAUCUUAGACAAUGGGCGCAAGCCUGAUCUAGCCAUGCCGCGUGAGCGAUGAAGGCCUUAGGGUUGUAAAGCUCUUUCAGUGGGGAAGAUAAUGACUGUACCCACAGAAGAAGCCCCGGCUAACUCCGUG